CAGUAGCCACGGGAAUACAGAGGGUGCAAGCGUUAAUCGGAAUUACUGGGCGUAAAGCGCGCGUAGGUGGUUUGUUAAGUUGGAUGUGAAAGCCCCGGGCUCAACCUGGGAACUGCAUCCAAAGCUGGCAAGCUAGAGUACGGUAGAGGGUGGUGGAAUUUCCUGUGUAGCGGUGAAAUGCGUAGAUAUAGGAAGGAACACCAGUGGCGAAGGCGACCACCUGGACUGAUACUGACACUGAGGUGCGAAAGCGUGGGGAGCAAACAGGAUUAGAUACCCCUGUAGUCCCUGUCUCUUAUAC
rnacentral:rRNA from 1 species